UACGGGGGGGGCAAGCGUUGUUCGGAAUUACUGGGCGUAAAGGGUUUGUAGGUGGCUUGCUAAGUCAGACGUGAAAUCCCUCAGCUUAACUGGGGAACUGCGUCUGAUACUGGCGAGCUUGAGUGCAGGAGAGGAACGCGGAAUUCCAGGUGUAGCGGUGAAAUGCGUAGAUAUCUGGAGGAACACCGGUGGCGAAGGCGGCAUCCUGGAUUGGUAUUGACGCUGAGGAGCGAAAGCUAGGGGAGCAAACGGG
rnacentral:rRNA from 1 species